GACGAACGCUGGCGGCGCGCUUAACACAUGCAAGUCGAGCGAGAACCAGUCCUUCGGGACUGGGGACAGCGGCGAACGGGUGAGUAACACGUGGGUAAUCUGCCCUCGGCACCGGAAUAGCCCGGGGAAACCCGGAUUAAUGCCGGAUGGCCUCCCUGCCCCUCAGGGCAGGGAGAAAAGGUAGCUUCGGCCUCCGGCCGAGGAUGAGCCCGCGGCCGAUUAGCUGGUUGGUGGGGGAACGGCUAACCAAGGCGACGAUCGGUAGCUGGUCUGAGAGGACGAUCAGCCACACUGGGACGGAGACACGGCCCAGACUCCUACGGGAGGCAGCAGUGGGGAAUCUUGCGCAAUGGGCGAAAGCCUGACGCAGCGACGCCGCGUGCGGGAAGAAGGCCUUCGGGUUGUAAACCGCUUUCAGGAGGGACGAAGCCACUCGGGUGAAUAGCCCAGAGGGUGACGGUACCUCCAGAAGAAGCCCCGGCUAACUUCGUGCCAGCAGCCGCCGUAAAAC
rnacentral:rRNA from 1 species